GAGACUAAGUCCCUAUAGAAAAAAGAUACUGGAAAGUUCUUUUUUCAAAAACUUCGGUGCCUAAGGAUAGGAUUAUGGCGGAUUAGCUUGUUGUUGGUGUAAAAGACCAACAAGGCGAUAAUCCGUACGGGUCGUGAGAGCGAUAGCCCGGAGAUGGAUUCUGAGACAUAAAUCCAGACUCUACGGAGUGCAGCAGGGACGAAACCUUCACAAUGCCUGAAAGGGUGAUGAGGGGACUCUGAGUGACUUGGCACUGCCAAGUCUUUUGUUUACUGUAGAUAGGUAAGCGAAUAAGCAGUGGGCAAUACGGUUGCCAGCCGCCGCGGUAAUAACCGAGCUGCAAGUGGUAAUCUCGUUUAUUGGGUCUAAAGCGUUCGUAGCUGGUCUGAUAAGUCUUUGAUGAAAUUGAUUAGUAAACUAAUCAGCUUGUCAAGGAUACUAUCAGACUAGGGACCGGGAGACGUUUGGGGUAUUCUUGGGGUAGGGGUAAAAUCCUUUAAUCCCAAGAAGACCACCUGUGGCGAAGGCGCCAAACGAGAACGGGUCCGACGGUGAGGGACGAAAGCUAGGGGAGCGACCGGGAUUAGAUACCCCGUUAGUCCUAGCUGUAAACGAUGCCUGUUUGGUGUUGCGGGUCCUUCGUGGAUGCGCAGUGCCGGAGCGAAGGCGUUAAACAGGCCACCUGGGAAGUACGGCCGCAAGGCUGAAACUUAAAGGAAUUGGCGGGGGAGCAC
rnacentral:rRNA from 1 species